rnacentral:rRNA from 1 species
AUACGGAGGAUCCGAGCGUUAUCCGGAUUUAUUGGGUUUAAAGGGUGCGCAGGCGGCCAUUUAAGUCAGCGGUUAAAUCGUGGGGCUCAACCCCAUUCUGCCGUUGAUACUGGGUGGCUUGAUUGCGGUCGAGGUUGGCGGAAUUCGUUGUGUAGCGGUGGAAUGCAUAGAUAUGACGAAGAACACCGAUUGCGUAGGCAGCUGACCAGACCGCAAAUGACGCUCAUGCACGAAAGUGCGGGGAUCGAACAGGAUUAGAUACCCUGGUAGUCCGCACAGUAAACGAUGAAUACUUGUUUUCGGCGAUAUAAUGUCGGAGGCAAAGCGAAAGCGAUAAGUAUUCCACCUGGGGAGUACGCCGGCAACGGUGAAACUUAAAGGAAUUGGCGGGG